rnacentral:tRNA from 1 species
CAUCCUUGGUAAGGAUGAGGUCGCGGGUUCAAUUCCCGCCAGAAGCUCCA